rnacentral:rRNA from 1 species
ACGCUCGACACCUACGGGAGGCAGCAGUGGGGAAUAUUGCACAAUGGGGGAAACCCUGAUGCAGCGACGCCGCGUGGAGGAAGAAGGUCUUCGGAUUGUAAACUCCUGUUGUUGGGGAGAAAGAGGAUGGUACCCAACAAGGAAGUGACGGCUAACUACGUGACAGCAGCCGCGGUAAUCUGAGCGGGCUGGCAAGGC